GACGAACGCUGGUGGCAGGCCUAACACAUGCAAGUCGAGCGCUGCAGCAAUGCAGAGCGGCAGACGGGUGAGUAACGCGUGGGAACCUUCCCAGUGGUACGGAAUAGCCCAGGGAAACUUGGGGUAAUACCGUAUACGCCCGAAAGGGGAAAGAUUUAUCGCCAUUGGAUGGGCCCGCGUAGGAUUAGCUAGUUGGUGAUGUAACGGCUCACCAAGGCGACGAUCCUUAGCUGGUCUGAGAGGAUGAUCAGCCACACUGGGACUGAGACGCGGCCCAGACUCCUACGGGAGGAAGCAGUCGGGAAUAUUGGAGCAGGGGCGCAAGCCUGAUCCGGCCAUGCCGCGUGAGUGACGAAGGUCUUCGGAUUGGAAAGCUCUUUUGGCGGGGACGAUAAUGACGGUACCCGCAGAAUAAGCCCCGGCUAACUUCGUGACAGCAGCCGCCGUAAUAC
rnacentral:rRNA from 1 species